rnacentral:lncRNA from 12 species
UAUUUUGGAUAGUAAAAUCAAUUCUGUUUGGAUUAUAAAAGGGAACAGGUGGCUGCAAUUUUAGCCAUUCUUCAAUAUCCAGUAAUAAGGCUGAAAGGAAGUCAUCUCUAUUUUUCCUGCUAAGAGGCCUAUUUGUUGACCCUGGUAUGCAGCAGCUUCCUGCCACAACAUCAUUGACAACUGGCAAUGGUAGCUCUGGAAAUUGAUGAAGACGAGGUUUUUUGUUUUUUGUUUUUUUUUAGACAAGGUCUUUUAUUAAGUGACAAAUAAACCUUAGGUAAAAUGACA